UUGAGAGUUUGAUCCUGGCUCAGAACGAACGCUGGCGGCAGGCUUAACACAUGCAAGUCGAACGAAGUCUUCGGACUUAGUGGCAGACGGGUGAGUAACGCGUGGGAACCUACCUUUCGGUACGGAACAACAGUUGGAAACGACUGCUAAUACCGUAUGCGCCCUACGGGGGAAAGAUUUAUCGCCGAGAGAUGGGCCCGCGUUGGAUUAGCUAGUUGGUGGGGUAAUGGCCUACCAAGGCGACGAUCCAUAGCUGGUCUGAGAGGAUGAUCAGCCACACUGGGACUGAGACACGGCCCAGACUCCUACGGGAGGCAGCAGUGGGGAAUAUUGGACAAUGGGCGCAAGCCUGAUCCAGCCAUGCCGCGUGUGUGAAGAAGGCCUUUUGGUUGUAAAGCACUUUAAGCGAGGAGGAGGC
rnacentral:rRNA from 1 species